GAUGAACGCUAGCGACAGGCUUAACACAUGCAAGUCGAGGGGCAGCGAGGGCGUAGCAAUACGCCUGUCGGCGACCGGCGCACUGGUGAGUAACACGUAUGCGACCUGCCCCCUACAGGGGUAUAACCCGUAGAAAUGCGGACUAAUCCCCCAUAGUCCCGCGGGCUGCAUGGCCUGCGGGGGAAAGGGUUUCCGGUAGGGGAUGGGCAUGCGGCGCAUUAGCUAGUUGGCGGGGCAACGGCCCACCAAGGCGACGAUGCGUAGGGGUUCUGAGAGGAAGGUCCCCCACACUGGUACUGAGACACGGACCAGACUCCUACGGGAGGCAGCAGUGAGGAAUAUUGGUCAAUGGGCGCAGGCCUGAACCAGCCAAGUCGCGUGAGGGAUGACGGUCCUACGGAUUGUAAACCCUCUUUUUGUCGGGGAGUAACGUGCGGGACGCGUCCCGUAUUGAGAGUACCCGAAGAAAAGCAUCGGCUAACUCCGUGCCAG
rnacentral:rRNA from 1 species